rnacentral:rRNA from 1 species
AAUAGAUACCCAGGUAGUCCAUGCCGUAAACGAUGUCUACUAGCCGUUGGGGCCUUUGAGGCUUUAGUGGCGCAGCUAACGCGAUAAGUAGACCGCCUGGGGAGUACGGUCGCAAGACUAAAACUCAAAUGAAAUUGACGGGGGCCCGCACAAGCGGUGGAGCAUGUGGUUUAAUUCGAUGCAACGCGAAGAACCUUACCUGGUCUUGACAUAGUAAGAACUUUCCAGAGAUGGAUUGGUGCCUUCGGGAACUUACAUACAGGUGCUGCAUGGCUGUCGUCAGCUCGUGUCGUGAGAUGUUGGGUUAAGUCCCGCAACGAGCGCAACCCUUCUCCUUAUUUGCCAGCGGGUUAAGCCGGGAACUUUAAGGAUACUGCCAGUGACAAACUGGAGGAAGGCGGGGACGACGUCAAGUCAUCAUGGCCCUUACGACCAGGGCUACACACGUGCUACAAUGGUCGGUACAAAGGGUUGCUACCUAGCGAUAGGAUGCUAAUCUCAAAAAGCCGAUCGUAGUCCGGAUUGGAGUCUGCAACUCGA